rnacentral:rRNA from 1 species
UACAGAGGGUGCCGAGCGUUGUCCGGAAUCGACUGGGCGUAAAGGGCGCGUAGGCGGGAUGGCAAGUCAGUCGUGAAAUCUCUCGGCUCAACCGAGAAACGUCGGCUGAUAACUGCCGUUCUUGAGGGAUGCAGAGGAGACUGGAAUUCCCGGUGUAGCGGUGAAAUGUGUAGAGAUCGGGAGGAACACCGGUGGCGAAGGCGGGUCUCUGGGCAUCUCCUGACGCUGAGGCGGCGAAAGCGUGGGAGCCGAACAGG